GGGCGACUAGCUCAGCUGGUUAGAGCGCGACUCUUACAAAGUCGAGGUCGCUGGUUCGAGCCCAGCGUCGCCCA
rnacentral:tRNA from 2 species